rnacentral:rRNA from 1 species
GACAGAGGGUGCAAACGUUGUUCGGAAUUACUGGGCGUAAAGCGCGUGUAGGUGGCAAGGCAAGUCGGGUGUGAAAGCCCUGGGCUCAACCCAGGAAGUGCACUCGAUACUGCCUCGCUAGAGUCCCGGAGAGGUUGGUGGAACUCUCGGUGUAGAGGUGAAAUUCGUAGAUAUCGAGAAGAACACCGGUGGCGAAGGACGGGUCUCUGGGCGUAACUGACGCUGAGGAGACGAAAGCGUGGGGAGCGAACGGG